ACUGCCUGUAGAAUUACUGAUCUAAAUCCAAAACUUCAAGAUGAAGCCCUAUCUUUUAAUCGUGGUCUGUGUGUUUUUGAUUGCAUCGGCGCAAGUUGUUACGGCUGGCAACGGGUGCUAUGGACUCAUUCACAGCGACCGUACUUGCAGUAGGUACUGCAAGAACGAACUCAGCUGUCAAGGAGGAUACUGUGAUUCGAAGA